GUUAAUUUUGUCUCCAGCCUGUCAAGAUCCUUCAGAUGAUGUUUGAGAAAAAAGUCAUCAUCCUCUUCGUCACUCUUCAUCCGUAUUUGGGGUAACAAACACCUGCUUCCCACAAGAGACUGGACCGCUGAAGUCAGGUGACCUGCACCUUCCUUGAACAUGUUGGUAACUUACUCUGUAUUUGUUCACGGUGGUCACCCCAGGGUCUCAGGACUCAAAACGAGUGCUCUAUGGAUUAAACAGAAAAUGUAGUAUAAACAAGUGUUAAGUUAUGUCUUUAAAUGCCACUAAUAAUGUGUUUCUGUUUUCUUUCUCAUUAUGCUAACAAACGCUCUUUUAUCCCUCAUGUUAGGUGGAUCAACACUCCAACCAUCUGCAUUAGGGACUGAAUAAAGGAUGCCCUCUGUAGCUGGGAAUGUUAGAUCAGCUUUGCCCCAUUCAGCAACAUGAGCAACUGUGACCAUCGACAACAGGAAGUGGGCAUGUCCAGCUAUGCCACAACGUUGAGGAAAGUUUAACUUGAUGAAGGACUUUUGGGAGCAACUACCAAUGAGAGUGAAGCAGUGAAGCGGAUCAACAUUCCAUCCAUCUGCAUUAGGAUCUACCUUAGAGACACUCACUGAAGCUGUAAAGGGAAGCAGGUCACUUACUUUUCAUUCGUCCUUGUUGGUCACCCCAGGGUCUCUAGAGUGAAAAUUACUCAAUCUAUGGAUUAAACAGAAAAUGUAGUUUUAUGAAGUGCAAUUUGGGACAUUCUUCCAGUUGUCGGCAACUUUGUGAAAAAGGCUGGAAACUAAAAUGCAGAAUUCUGGCCUGGUGUUUGGUCCGUGCUGUCUUUGGCUCUUGCAUCUCCAUCAUCUUGACCCUCUUUAGCAGCCUGUCCAUGUAUUUAUUUGGAGGCCACCAUGAGCACCCAUCUGCAUAAUAUGACUUUGUUACUCAGUUGUCCAUGCUCCUACAAAUUCUACAUUUUUUGUAAAGCUGCAACAAGUUGAAACCCUAUAAUUAUUAACAUUUGAUUUUGAAUGAUGUAAUUCAAAUACAUGAAUAAGUAACAAAAGCAGAAAUAUAUUAAUUAAGACAUUACCUUUUUGUUGAUUGUUUACUGAUCUAUAAAUCAUUUUGCAUUCUCAUAAUUGAUCAUCAUAACUUGGUAUACAGUGGAUGUGUGGCUGUAGAUAACUUUCUGAAGUCAAUUUAAAAAGGCAAAAGUUAAUAAAUGCUAAAUUGGUCAAAUAUA